ACUCUUAAGGCUAGGCGCGCACAUGCAACUUUUAGUUUCGAAACUGUUUGGUUUCUAAUCUGAGCACUAUAGACUUAUACGAGAGUCCGCGCACAUGCAGAAAACAACGUGACUGCGCGCACAUGCAACUAAAUAGUUUCUUUGGUAUGCAUGUAUUAGUGCAUUUCAGUCGAAUGAUUCUUUAAAGUGUGACGAGGCUAGUAGGAUACUUCCAUACGCGCAGAAUAAUAUAUCCUUCUCGUACGUUUGUUUUCAUAAUUUAAUUUGCUACUUUUUAAACGUCAAAUGUAUUUAUGCACUGAAAGGAGAUUAUUAUGUACUUCAAUCAAGUGCGCCAUCGUUUAAAAAAUGGAAUAAAGCACAAUUAUUUCAAAUGAAGUUUCGCGUCUCACAAAUGUGAAUGUCAAGAGUAAAACAACGCUGUAGCCAUCGAAUGCUAUCAACCAGACUGCAAAUGGAAAUGUAUACAAUAAAGAGUAACAUAAACAACACUGAAACGGAAAAGCACCCACAGGAGCAUCAGUAUCAGAAAGAGGAGGAAUCUAUGAUGAUCCUGAUCGGAGCAAAUCUUCAUUCGAAAAGGUUCCUCUACACACAGCCUUCCUAGUAUAUCUUGGCUUUUACCUUGGGCUUUUAUAUUGGGCUACAUAAAUCAAUUAAUGUGUGCCCCAAAAGUAGCUAAAGAAAAUAAUCGAGAGGCUAUGUUACGCUAUACGAUGCCUUCGAUGGCUUCUAUUUAGGGUAUGUCUAUCGGAAAUGGAAUUUCCCAAUUUGCAGAUCACAUUACCAAGGAUUACGGUUGGACAUUUGAGUUCAAUUGUGAAGUAUGUUGGAGUGUUCGAUUGUCCGAAGAUAUUGCAUUGAAAAAGAAAUUCAAACCUUAUUUGUAUUUGUAUGAGACGCAUAGUGUGGUAGCGAUGGGACCAAAUGGUCGCGGUAUUGUCGACUAUUAUGGCGCCGAUCAGAAAUAUGUUGAUAUUCUAAUGGGAAAAUUUAAAAAGAGCUUUGGCAGUGCUGGUUGUUUUAUUGCUGGAACAAAGUUACCCCAAGGGUUUCCUGCCACUCCAAUUGUGGAAGGACGUACAUAUACGCUUAAGAGCUGUUUGAUUAUGCCUUACAAGUGAUUGAUGAAAUAAGUGAUUCAGUAAUGAGUUGGCCUAAAGUAUUCAUGUAAAGUAAGAAAUUCUAAUCCGAUUAUUUAUUAAG